rnacentral:rRNA from 1 species
UACGUAGGGGGCAAGCGUUGUCCGGAAUCAUUGGGCGUAAAGCGCGCGUAGGCGGCCCGGUAAGUCCGCUGUAAAAGUCCAGGGCUCAACCCUGGAAAGCCGGUGGAUACUGUCGGGCUUGAGUACGGAAGAGGCGAGUGGAAUUCCUGGUGUAGCGGUGAAAUGCGCAGAUAUCAGGAGGAACACCAAUUGCGAAGGCAGCUCGCUGGGACGUUACUGACGCUGAGACGCGAAAGCGUGGGGAGCAAACAGG